rnacentral:rRNA from 1 species
UACGUAGGUGGCAAGCGUUGUCCGGAUUUAUUGGGUUUAAAGGGUGCGUAGGCGGUUCCAUAAGUCAGUGGUGAAAUACGGCAGCUCAACUGUCGAGGUGCCAUUGAUACUGCGGAACUUGAGUGUUGAUGAGGCAGGCGGAAUUGACGGUGUAGCGGUGAAAUGCUUAGAUAUCGGAAGGAACGCCGGUGGCGAAAGCGACGUGCUGGACCUCUUCUGACGCUGAGGCGCGAAAGCUAGGGGAGCGAACGGG